AGAACGAACGCUGGCGGCAUGCCUAACACAUGCAAGUCGAACGAGACCUUCGGGUCUAGUGGCGCACGGGUGCGUAACGCGUGGGAAUCUGCCCUUAGGUUCGGAAUAACUCAGAGAAAUUUGAGCUAAUACCGGAUGAUGACGUAAGUCCAAAGAUUUAUCGCCUAGGGAUGAGCCCGCGUAAGAUUAGCUUGUUGGUGAGGUAAAGGCUCACCAAGGCGACGAUCUUUAGCUGGUCUGAGAGGAUGAUCAGCCACACUGGGACUGAGACACGGCCCAGACUCCUACGGGAGGCAGCAGUGGGGAAUAUUGGACAAGUGGGCGCAAGCCUGAUCCAGCCAUACCGCGUGGGG
rnacentral:rRNA from 1 species